rnacentral:lncRNA from 1 species
UUACUUUGAACUUACUGCUUUUGUCUAACAAUUAAUAAUACAAACCUUAGAUUUUAAGCUAGAUCAAACUAACAUCAAUUAUUACAGAGUUCCAUAUGCUCAUAAGAAAAUAUCAAUUCAGUUUAGCAGCCCCCCAAGUAAAAGACAGUCUAAAGUUUAUACAUAACACAUCAAUACUUAACUAUACUACAAGGGCAAUUUGAAAAUAUAAACUUCAAAAGACAAAGGGAUUGCAGAUUUCAUUUCAUCAUUUCAAUAUCCAAGCUAUAUCCAUACAAGAUUCAAAUGUGUACUUGGAUUUGAAAACAGAACAAGGAGAAAGAGAAGUCAGCAACAACAGAUACAGCAGCAGCAGCAAGACAACAUUAACACCAACAGCAGAUUACCAACAGCAAUGGAGUAUUUAAAAAAAACUAACACAUUACCAAUUCGACCAAAAUGAAACCCAAUAACAAACAGAAAGAGAGCUUGACCCACAGCAAUACCAAAACAAACCAAGUAAACUCAAAGAAGCAACCAGAACCACUUAAAACUUUCAACAAGCUAAAGUUCAAUCAGAAACCAAUUUAACUGGACUCAAAAUCACUCAAGAUCAGUCUAGUGUAUUUGAAUCAGAAGAAUGGAAAUUAUGGAAUCACUGAAACCGAAGGAGAACUUCAAUGAAGCAGUGAGACUUCUCAGUAUUUCUCUCUGUUCUUUUCAAGCUUAACACUCUCCAAAACUAAUCUCUAAGAACUGACUGAAUCAAGAAAACUCUCUCAAUCUCUCAAAAACUGAUAUUCUUUUUCCACUCUCUCUAAGUCGUCCGCUUUUUUCUGAUUUUUUCUUGUCUCUUAUAAGCUUUCAAAUCUCUUUUUCUCCUGAUUUUCAGCCUUAGUGGAUAAUUAACUAUCCUAACUUUAACCCUUAAAAUUAGAAAGGUAUUCUCCACUUUCCUUUGCCUAUUAACAUUUCAAUUCCACUUAUAAUUGUCUCAUUUCAGUCCACUAACAGCUUAUCUUUUCAAUUUUUUAAGCAACUUCCACUAAGCUAGUGCUUCUUAUUUUAAAAGAGCUAAUGUACCUCCUAUCCAACUACAUCUUCAAUCUUGUAAUGUAACAGAGGAAUGAUUAGCAAGCAGUAAACUACGACGAUGCAGCAAGCAUGAGCAAUUUGAACCAACAUAACGAGGAAAAACAAAGCAAGCCUAUAUCCCAACCGUCAACACCAAGUAUUUCACAUAAAUCUUCAUUCAACAAGAAAAGAGACAGAUUCAACAAACUUCCAAUAUAUACUAGUUCAGCUAUCGUAACACAUUUAACAAAAAUACUACAAAGAUCAAGUAAAGCAAGAAUUGGAAUAUAAUUCAAAUGAAUAUUACUUAAAUUAACAGAUCGGUUAAGAAUGAACCUGAGAAUUGAAGGAUCAAAUUUAUUUGAAAGCUUUUAACAUGUACAUGGACUCCCCAAACAGAAAACCAAACAGAGAAGUAAAAGAACUCGAAUCAAACAGGGACCUCGAAAAGAAAACUUCAACGACGAGUUUCGACCACGCCUCGGACUGAACCUCCAGACCAGAUCAGAAAUCACGCGCGGCAACGAAAACCCGAACGACGACCUCAACAAACUCAAAUCACUCUGCUGCUUCGAGGACUCGACCUUGGCUCAAAUGAAAUUCAAAUCACUGCCGGAUUUCCGGUGAGAUGAGGGUUGUUUGUAUGAGAAACAGAAGAAGAAGAAUAAGAAACGAGGGGGAACAACAGCACAACUUCUGUGUUUUCCGGCGAAUGGGGUCACUGGCGGGAUAGAGCUGGUCGUUCAAGGCAUGGGGGUCAUUUUUUUGAGUGGGUCCGUUGAGAAGGGGACCUAACAAUUAAUAAUCGAAGGAGGGUUGAAAAAGAGGCGAGUAAGGGUAGUGGGGGUGGUUGUUUAGGAUGGUAUAACGACGGAAGCAGGAGGGGGGGCUGCGGAGAAGNNN